rnacentral:tRNA from 1 species
GCUCUAAUAGCUUAAAAUUUUUAAAGCGUUGUUCUUGUAAGCCAAAGUCGGGCCACCCCUUAGAGCA